CCGUUUGGCAUAAAACUCAUCAUCUUGAUGUUUCAAAAUUGAUUCACCUUGUGUUCGAUGCAGUACUCCAGUUCUCCGACUAUAUUUUCUCCUCCAGUGAACCCGAUCAUCAAUAUAAACAACAUCAUCUUCUGCAUUAUCAAUAUCAUUAUAACCGUCAACCCAUUGAUUGCCCCUAUAUUUGCCACCACGUAUUUCUCUCCUAUGUCUCCCAUACCUAUCAGCGACAUCAAACAUUUCCUUUCUUGGUGACAUCAUAUCCUUCCACCUUUCUUCAUUGGCUGCAUAAGAUUCUCUGUGAGACCAAGUGGACAAAUGCUGUUGAUUCAGAAUCCAAUGAUCAUCUGCAGUUUCUAUACACCAUGAAUUCUCCAAA
rnacentral:misc_RNA from 1 species